CUUCCCAUCCCGCCUGGGGACCGAGCCGCCAGCCGCAGACAUGACCCCCAGCCUGGCCAUCGCCUUCCUCCUGCUGCUCCCCGCGGGUGUCUAUUCCCAGGUCAGCCUGGUGGAGUCCGGAGCGGGAGUCAGGAAGCCCGGGGAGACCCUCAGACUGACCUGCACCGUGUCCGGAUUCUCUCUCACUAGCAGCGCGGUGCACUGGGUCCGCCAGCCAGCGGGGAAGGGGCUGGACUGGCUGGGAAUUAUCUGGGGUGAUGGGGGCACUGCUUAUAGCAAUGCUCUCAAAAAUCGCCUCAGCAUCACCAAAGACAACUCCAAGAGCCAAGUGUUCCUGCAACUGACCGGCCUGCAGCCCGCAGACACCUCCGUGUAUUACUGUGCCAGAGACACAGUGAGAGGAAACCUAUCCGAGCCCGGCCUAAAACUAACCGUGCAGAGAACCAGCCUUCCCGUGUGACGCGCCGAGAGCAGCAGCUGCCAGCACCGCGGUCUCUCUGCUUGGUUCGUUUUUUGCUUCAUGCAGAUUCCUCAGCAAGUUACAAGCGCUUGGGAGUUAAACUCCGUAU